AAAAAGCUAUUACAAAAGUCAGAACUUCCACCUUCUGCACUCCAAAAAUUUGGUCCAUAUGCCCAGAGGGGUAAAUGAUAGGAGAAGAUAGCCAGAAGGCUCUGAACCCCAUUCGACCAGCACCCAAAGCAUUUGUCACUGGGAACCUUUUUUUGUUUGUUUGUUUCUGAUUUAUUUAUUAGAUAGAGACAGAGAGAGAUUGAGAAUGGAGGAAGGAGACAGAAAGGAAAAGAGACAGAGAGACACCUGCAGACAUGCUUCACCACUCCUGAAGCUUUCCCCGCAAGUGGGCACCAGGGGCUUGAACCUGGGUCCUCAUGCACUGUAAUGUAAACGGUUAAUCAGGUGUGCCACCAAGACAGACCAGAGUGAAAUCAUUUGCCAAGAAUGUUUUCAUUAAUCAAGAACGAAAGUCGGAGGUUCGAAGACGAUCAGAUACCGUCUUAGUUCCGACCAUAAACGAUGACAAUUGGCAAUGCAGGGGCAUUAUUCCCAUGACCCACCGGGCAGCUUCUGGGAAACCAAAGUCUUUGGGUU
rnacentral:ncRNA from 1 species